UACGUAGGGGGCAAGCGUUGUCCGGAUUUAUUGGGCGUAAAGAGCGUGUAGGCGGUCUGGUAGGUCCGUUGUGAAAACUCGAGGCUCAACCUCGAGACGCCGAUGGAAACCAUCAGACUAGAGUCCGGAAGAGGAGAGUGGAAUUCCUGGUGUAGCGGUGAAAUGCGCAGAUAUCAGGAGGAACACCAAUGGCGAAGGCAGAUCUCUGGGCCGUAACUGACGCUGAGGAGCGAAAGCAUGGGGAGCGAACAGG
rnacentral:rRNA from 1 species